UACAGAGGGGGCAAGCGUUAUUCGGAAUUAUUGGGCGUAAAGGGCGCGUAGGCGGCGAUUCAAGUGACGGGUGAAAUCCCUCGGCUUAACCGAGGAACUGCCUGUCAGACUGGAUUGCUUGAGGCCGGGAGAGGCGCGUGGAAUUCCCAGUGUAGCGGUGAAAUGCGUAGAUAUUGGGAGGAACACCAGUGGCGAAGGCGGCUCGCUGGACCGGUUCUGACGCUGAGGCGCGAAAGCGUGGGGAGCAAACAGG
rnacentral:rRNA from 1 species